CCUCCACGUACUAGCUCUAGAAAUUCCGGUAUACAUUCCUUUAUCUCCUCCACCUCCACGUAGAAAGCCUAGGAUUUUCUACCAGCCACAUCUUUCAUCUCAUAGGCGUUAUCCACUAGUUUCCUAGGAACACAGCUCAUCUGUUUUCUUAUGCCAUUUUUUCUCUGUUUCUGAAGUCACGGCUCCCUGUAGAUGUUCAGCUCGUCUGCGCUUGGUCUUUGCCGGUAGCCGAGCUGCUCCCUGUGCUCGAGCUCCCAGCGCCCUGCAUCAGCUCGCCGGUAGCCAAGCUCUAUGGCACAAGGCCUCUAAGCCCUGCUCCUUCUCCAACCGUGCCAAUGCUCGCCAGCUCCGUUAGCCCACCGGCCCUGCCCCUCUCAGCUCCGGUGUCGUCAACUCCGGCUGUGCGCCGUCGGCCAUGCCUCCCCAUGCCGACGUUGCUCCCCAUGUGCUCGCCCAGGCCACAACGUCGUCCAUGCCAUUCGGUGCGCUCUAGGUGUUCGACGAAAUAGAACCAAGGAACUGUCGCCGUUCUUACAUAUAUCGAGUCGAUUCGAUUAUGGUACGCUAAUGAUCGUGCGAGAUGAAGGGCAUGGACCGACGAUAUCUUAGUGACUAUGUCGACAGAAGAUGAAUGUAUUGACCGUACCAGGAUUUUGGAUGUUCGCCAACCAGAUGUCUCUAACAACACUAACGUAGUGUUUAUCCUAGGCAAGCCCCCGUGCAUUCACCUCUUUCCUUGAUGUUUACAAAAAUUUAUAACCUUGAAUGAUGCAUUAUGUGAUAGGAGUUGUGUGAUCAAACAGUUGAUGCAUUUCCAUCCUUGAUUAAACAACCCUAAUACCUGUUUUAUGAAAAUUUAGUGAUGCUUAGCCCUGCUUAUUAAUUUAGGAUGGUUUUUUAAAGAUGAUGUGUAACACGGGAUAUGGGAGUUUGUGAAAUAAAAGGACUUGUGAUGAUGAACCCAUUGUAGCCGCAAUGAUUUCAUCAUUCAAGUAGGGUGUCUCUCUCAGGUAUCAAGUUUUGGGAAAUAAUAUGUAAUGUAGACUAGACGUUGAGCAGGAAAGUUCGCCCAUCUGCGUUGAUUAAGGACUGAUCGAUGUAGGCCUGUUGUUGUGGA